GUGUGUGUCAUAUAAAUUCUCAGUGGUGCUUUUCUAAGAGGUUAACGUAACCAGUGAGAUGUAGAUUUUUUUUGAGCAUUUGCUAACUUCAGGUAACGUUAAUGUGAAAACUUUAACAAAUCUGUUUGAUAUAAAGUCUGCUUUGUAUAGUUAGCCUAAUUUAUUACCUUAGGGCGACCAAAUACGUUUUCCUUGAAAUUAUUAAAUAUGCUAUUUAUAUAUAUGUGUCUAUAUUUAUGUCGGCCGGCAAAUCUUGUGUGUAUUUUGGCACAGGGUGCACAAAGGCACCUUAUCAGUGCGGUGACACUUGAACAAAUGAACUGAUCAUGCGCGACACUGACCAAUAAACAAACGAGUUGUUUUAUUGCGUCUAUGACUUGAAUCUUAUCAUCAGUUGUAGUGAUGGGAAGUUCGGAUCAUUUUACCGAAUCGGACUUUUGAGUCUCGUUCAGCAAAAUGAACGAAUCUUUUUUCGAGUCAUUUCAAAUGAACGAACAACCAGAAGGUUCAGGAAGAAAAAAACAAAGUGCUUGCAGUCUGUUUCACAUUAGGAGGCAUUUUGCUGCAUAAUCGAUCCACCACAAACCAUAUGCAACUAUGGAAGCUCAACUUCCAUUAAAUGGACUGAAAACGCUCAAGUAACGUUAUAGGUCUCAAAACGCUUGCUCUGCGCCAGUGGAUACACACCAUAGACAGUAAAAGAAAUAUGUGCAUGUCACAGACUGUCUGGGCAUGCACUUCCGCGUUUCAGAGAUCCGCCUUUUACUUUCCGUCAACAUUACAUUAAUUAACGUUUAGAAAAUUUAUUUUUGACAUUUGUGAAUCAGUUCAGAAUCGUCUGCUUAUGCAUUGUGAUACAUUUAAGAAUCACAUUUUUAUCCCACCCCUACUAAAUAUAGAGACACUUUGACAAGUGGGCACUGGAUGCUGAGUAUUGAAGGCGAGGUGGUGUGUGAGGGCACUCAGCCCAGUUUCCUGUCCGGCCUUGCCACUCUGUUUGCUGCUUAUUACUAGUUUAAUCUUGAGUAUCAGGAGGAAGCAGUGUGUACCUUGGAGUUCAUUCAAAGGUGCUUUGUGGGCAUAAAUCCAGAGAGAGGACCCAAAGCCAAGGGAAAAGUGCCAUCGAAAUAAAAACAGGACAAGUGAUACAGAAGAAAAUGUGUGGCAGUCAACCCACAUGUUGCCACUCUUCUGUGCAAAUUCCAAUGGAAUUUCUGAAAUUCACACUUUGAAUCCUGGGAUGGAACUUCAUCUGGAGCAUAAUUGUUAUUUGGUUGAUUUUUAUCUGUUUGAUGGAAAGUUUGUAUGACUUCUGCAAGUGCGCGGCUCCUUCCGGUCAGUCAUGCAUCACUUUUUUUUGUAUGACUUGUUUGGCAAUAUUGGUCUAUUCCUUAAUGAUGAUAGCUAUCUGAAAAUGUCUUUGUGGUUUUUAAAGGAUUAGUUCACCCAAAAAUGAAAAUUAAGUCAAUAAUUACUUAUGUCGUUUCACACCCGUAAGAUCUUCGUUCAUCCUCACAACACAUAAUAAGAUGUGGCUCAGUGAAGCGUGCAUUUCUAGCAAGAUCAUUUCUUUUUUUCAAUGCCCAGAAAGCCUCUAAAACAUUUAAAACAAUUCAUGUGACUACAG